rnacentral:rRNA from 1 species
UCGGUAAUUCCAGCUCCAAUAGCGUAUACUAAAGUUGUUGCAGUUAAAAAGCUCGUAGUUGGAUUUCUGCAUUGGUGGGGCGCCCGUGGGCCUCUGGCUCAUUGGGCAGCAACUCCGUUGCAUCCUGCCGCGAACCACGCUACCAUUCGUUUGGUGGCGUCUGGGGAUCGGCUCGUUUACUUUGAGAAAAAUAGAGUGUUCAAAGCAGGCCUGAUGCCUUGAAUAAUGUAGCAUGGAAUAAUGAUAAAGGACUUUGGUUCUAUUUUGUUGGUGUUCGGGACCGGAGUAAUGAUUGAUAGGGACAGUUGGGGGCGUCUGUAUUCUGAAGCGGGAGGUGAAAUUCUUAGACCUUCGGAAGACAAACAGCUGCGAAAGCGUUCGCCAAGGAUGUUCCCUUUGAUCAAGAACGAAAGUUGGGGGACCGAAGACGAUCAGAUACCGUCGUAGUCUCAACUAUAAACUAUACCAGCUAGGGAUCGGCCAACGUUGAUAUCACAAAGACUUGGUCGGCACCUUUAAAGAGAAAUCAAAGCAUCUGGGUUCCGGGGGGAGUAUGGUCCCAAGGCUGAAACUUAAAGGAAUUGACGGAAGGGCACCACCAGGCGUGGAGCCUGGGGCUUAAUUUGACUCAACACGGGGAAANCUUACCAGGUCCAGACAUGAAAAGGAUUGACAGAAUUGACAGCUCUUUCUUGAUUUUAUGGGGGGGGGUGCAUGGCCGUUCUUAAUUGGUGGAGUGAUUUGCCUGGUUAAUUCCGUUAACGAACGAAACCCCACCCUGCUAAAUAGCGCGCGUAGCCUCUGGCCGCGGCGAGCUUCUUAGAGGGACUAUCGCUCGUUAUAGGCGAGGGAAGUUUGGGGCAAUAACAGGUCUGUGAUGCCCUUAGGUGUUCUGGGCCGCACACGGGCUACACUGACGCGUGCAACGAGCAUACCAGCUGGCCCGACAGGGCGUAGGCUAAUCUUUUGAACUCGCGUCGUGCUAGGGAUUGACCAUUGCAAUUGUUGGUCAUGCAACGAGGAAUGCCUUGUAAACGCGGGUCAUCAACCCGCAUUGAAUACGUCCCUGCCCUUUGUACACACCGCCCGUCGCUCCUACCGAUGAAUGUUCCGAUGAAAUUUUCGGAGGGCGCCUGUGAAGCGGUGCAAACCGCGGAACGGGAGGCCCGAAGUUGCUUAAAUCUGAACAUUUCGAGGAAGGAGAAGUCGUAACAAGGUAGCCGUA